CGCUGAACUCGGAGCCUCCGCCGAGCACAAUCCUCCGCUCCGCCAGACAAUCCGCUAGCCAACCUCAGCGGCCCCGCUAGUGCGCCGCCGGCUAGAAAGCAUAGAACCUGCAACUAUGGACACCCAACAAUUCCCUAUGGACACCCAUUUGCAGAUCAGUUUGCAUCAGUCCGCCAGCUACUUGCCACCAGCGGCACCGCUAGCUCCCAUCAGCGGCAAAGCAAGCACCAACUUCUGACCAUCACCGCUGCCGGCCAUGACUUUCACCGCUAAGAACCAUCAGCGACACUCCGCCAAGAACCCAUGUUCUUCGAUCAAACCUCUGCCGGCAGGGCUCCGCCAGCCAGAACGUUGCUAGGAGAAACCGCUAGAUAAGGCUCCGCCGCGCCGGAC
rnacentral:lncRNA from 1 species